rnacentral:rRNA from 1 species
CCCUUAGAUGUUCUGGGCUGCACGCGCGCUACACUGAUGCAUGCAACGAGUUUUCGACCUUGCCUGAAAAGGUUGGGUAAUCUGUUUAACAUGUGUCGUGAUGGGGAUAGACCAUUGCAAUUAUUGAUCUUCAACGAGGAAUUCCUAGUAAGCGCGAGUCAUCAGCUCGUGCUGAUUAUGUCCCCGCCCUUUGUACACACCGCCCGUCGCUCCUACCGAUUGAGGGAUCCGGUGAAUGAUUCGGACCAGCGUGCUGCUCAGAUCCUGCGCAGUGUGCUGGGAAGUCUAGUGAACCUUAUCACUUAGAGGAAGGAGAAGUCGUAACA